rnacentral:tRNA from 1 species
GUGGGCGUAGCUCAAUUGGCAGAGCACUGGACUGUGGCUCCAGUGGUUGUGGGUUCAAUCCCCAUCGCCCACCCCA